rnacentral:ncRNA from 1 species
UACUGAUAAAGGUAAACCCAGAGUAAUCUGGGGGCGCAAAGCAAUGGGGUCCUGAUAAAGGAUUGCCCGGCUGCCAAA